UAAAAUUAAACUUCCCAGUUCUUAAAAAGCACAGGUACCAUUCCUGCUGACUCCGCGCUGGCGUUCAGCCACAGUGCCGGCCCUCUCUCCCUCCUCCUCUCUCUAACUCCUCCUCACUUUCCAAAUCCUGUUAAUUCUUCAUGUUACUGGUUUAACCAUCUCUUCCUUGCUGCCUUCCAGAUCAUACCACCAGGGCCUUACCUCUAUCUCCCUGGAGCUUAUUAGAUCUUUUCCUAAGCAAAGGCAAUUCUUUUCUAAGAGAGACCCUAGUGUUAGUUUUAUGAAUAGUAAUUUUUCUAGGAACCUCACCCCCUUGGCCUAGACUUUGCCCCCAAGGGAGCCCCUGCAGCACCUUUGGGGAACUCUUGGGUUCCACUUUGAAAACUGAUGGGCUAGAUUACUUUUUUUUUUUUUGAAACAAGGGGCUUGCUCUGUCACCUAGGCUGGAGUGCAGUGGCACAGCCAAGGCUAACUGCAGCCUCAAUCUCCGAGGCUCAAGUGAUUCCCAGGGCUCAAGUGAUCCUCUAGCCUCAGCCUCCCAAGUAGCUGGACUAUAGGUGUGCACCACUGUCUCUGGCUAAUUUUUUUUGGUAGAAAUGGGUUUCACUAUGUUGUCCAGGCUGGUCUUAAACUCCUGAGUUAAAGUGAUCCUCCCACCUUAGCUUCCCAAAGUGCUGAGAUUACAGGCCUAAGCCACUGCCCCCAGCCAGCCUAGAUCAUUUUUGAGAGCCUUUCCAUGUUUCAAGCUCUGUGAGUCUAUGAUUCCUGGAUGUGAAGUCUGUGUGACUGAUAAAAGCAGGCAGAAAUGCAAAGCUGAGAAGAACGCUUGGCUUGGAAUGGUGAUUCUCAAGAUUUUUAUACUCAGAAUCCCUUUAUACUCCCUAGGAGAACCCCAAAGGAUUUUUGUUCUCAUCCCUUAUAUCAGUCUUUAUAUGCUGUGUGAUCUUGGUGUAGUAAUUAGCUCCUCUGAACCUCAAUGCCUGUCUUAAAAUUAGGACUGAAAUAUCCACUAGGAAGGACUACGGAGAUAAUGGAGAUGCUGCAGCUGUAUGUCACCUUCUCUAAGUACCCAGGAGCAGCAAGAAACACUGAAUUUUGGAGUCUUAUCUGGAAAAGACUUGGAAUUGUAAUCCCCCACUUACUGACUGUAAGAGCCUUGGAUCUGUUCCUGAAAACAUGGUGUUCAAGUUGAACAUAUGAAAACAGAACUUCUUUCUUCUUCAAUGGAAGUGACACCUAACAAUUUGGAUUUAGAUUUCUCUGCCUCUUACAUCUACUGCUUGAUAAUGUAGAAACCAACAUUCAAAUCCAGGGAAGCAAAUCCUUUUUUAAAAGAUUUGAUUAAAUUAUCUGAGGAUAAAUUGUGCCUUGUUUUUUAUUUUUAACUAUAUUUUUGAGAGGGAGCUUCACAAACUCUUUAUUAUUCCCUUAAGAUCCAACUUUUGGUUCUUAUGACAUCAGUUUCAGAUGAGGACGCACAAGUCACUGUUCCCAUUACUAUAUUGGGAGGGUGGGGUUCUGAAAAUGUGCAAUGUGAGUGGUGAGUCUUUGCUGGAAGGGUACUAUCUUCUCAUCUACCAAAGGGAAGGUGAGUAGAAAAUUCCUAAAACUAAAAAAUCAAGAAGUGGCAGUAUCUAUUUGUUAUUUAAAAAUAUCAAGGUUAAUAGCAAAUAAAUCUACUAAAUUGAAUUUAAAAUGAUGACCUACAUCAAGAAAUACCAUAAGUCAAGUAAAAAGAUCAGUGACAAAAUGGGAAAAAAUAUUUGCAACUUAAAUGUCAGACAAAGGUUAAUUUCCAUGGUAUAUAAAGUUUCUCAAAAAGGAUAAUUAAAAAGGUCAGCAAUCACAGAAGAAUCAGCUAGAGAUAUCAAUAAUUAUUAGAAAAAGAAAUGCAAAUGGCCCUUAACAUUAUGAAAAGAUGUCCAACCUCACUUAAAAGGCAUUCAAAUCAAAGCUAAACUGAGAUACUAUUUUAGACUUAUCAAAUUGGCAAAAAUCCAAAAUUUAAGAAUACUCUGUUGGCAAGACUGGGAAAACAGACACUCUCAUGCAUUCCCAGUCAUAAUGCAAAUUGGUUCAAUCCCUACAGAGGAUAAUUUGGCAAUAUAUAGCAGAAUUGUUUAUGCAUAUACCCUUAACCCAGGAAUCUCACUUCUAGGCGCCUAACACAAAGAUUAUACUAGUGAAAUAUGAAAAGAUACACACACACACACACACACACACACAAAAAAAACAUACAUACAUAUAUAUCUUUAUACAUAGAUCUAUUUAUCUAUGUAUAGAAAGAGGCAAUUUAUUAUAGCACUAUUUGUAAUAGCAAGACUGGAUACAAUCAGAAUGCCUGUCAAAGGUGACUGGAUGAAUAAAGUAUGGUACUUCCAUACACUGGAGUAUUAAAAAAACUGCAAAAAGGAAAGAGAAACAUCUCUGAAUUCUCCCAUGAAGUAGUCUGCAGGAUAUGUUAAAUGAAAAAAAGAAUUACAAAAAAUAUACAGUAUGCCACUUACAUCAAAAAUGUCUUGCCAUGCCAGAAAGCAAUAGAGCUAUCAAAGAAUGCUAAGACUUUAUAGAAAGGACUCAGGAUAAAAUGGCACAGCCAAUUUUGAAAAAGUUUGGCAGUUCCUCAAAAACGUGAACAGAGUUAUCGUAUAACCCAGCAAUUUCAUUCCUAAGUAUAUACCCCCAAAAUUAACAACGUAUGUCCACACAAAAACUUGCACAUGAAUGUUCACUAGCAGCAUUAUUUGUAACCUGCCCAAGGUGGAAACAACCCAAAUGUCUAUUGACUGAUAAAAGAUAAAAUGUGGUAUAUCCAUACAAGGGAAUAUUAUUUAUCCAUAGAUAGGAAGUACUGCUACAUGUUAAAAUAUGGAUGAACCUUGAAAACACUCUGCUAAGUGAAAGAAGCCAGUCACAAAAGGCCACAUAUUAUAUGAUUUCAUUUGCAUGAAACGCCCAGAACAGGAAAAUCUGUAGAGACAGAAAGUAGAUUGGUAGUUGUCAGGAGCUGGGAGUGGGAGGGGGAAUGGGUAGCGACUGCUAAUGGGUAUGUGGUUUCUUCUUCGGGUAAGGCAGUUAUCCUGAAAUUAGAUGGUGGUGAUAGUUGCACAACUUUUUGAAUAUACUAAAAACCAUUGGCCGGGCGUGAUGGCUCACGCCUGUAAUCCCAGCACUUUGGGAGGCUGAGGGGGCGGAUCACAAGGUCAGGAGAUUGAGACCAUCCUGGCUAACAUGACUAAAAAUACAAAAAAUUAGCCGGGUGUGGUGGCAGGCACCUGUAGUCCCAGCUACUCGGGAGGCUGAGGCAGGAGAGUGGUGUGAACCUGGGAGGCGGAGCUGGCAGUGAGCCGAGAUUGUGCCACUGCACUCUAGCCUGGGCGACAGAAAGAGACUCCCCCGCAAACAAACAAACAAACAAAAAAACCCAUUGAACUGUACAAUUUAAAAUGGUGACUUUUAUGGUAUAUUGAAUUGUUUCUCAAUUAAAAAGGCAUAUACAUUAGGGCUGGGCAUGGUGGCUCAUGCCUGUAAUCCCAGCACUCUAGGGGGCUGAGGCAGGAAGACAACUUGAGUUCAGGAGCUCGAGACCAGCCUGGCCAAUACGGUGAAAUCCUAUCUCUACUAAAAAUACAAAAAUUAGCGGGGGCAUGGUGGUGGGCACCUGUAAUCUCAGGUACUCAGGAGGCUGAGGCAGGAGAAUCGCUUGAACCCAGGAGGUGGAGGGUGCAGUGAGCCGAGAUCAUGCCAGUGCACUCCAGCCUGGGAGACAGAGCGAGACUGUCUCAAAAAAAAAAAAAGAUAUAUACACUAAAUUUUUAAAGAAAAUAUUCAUUGAUAAACAAAAAACAACACAAAAGGACUAAGGUACCAACAUAAAUCAGCUCCAUUUGCCAAAGUCGGGACAAUUUGAGCAUCAAAGUAGUAACUAUAAGUGACUCAAACAUAUAAAAUAUGUUUAAAUCCAUGAUUUGGCCAGGCGUGGUGACUCAUGCCUGUAAUCCUAGCACUUUGGGAGGCAGAGGCGGGUGGAUCACGAGGUCAGGAGUUCAAGACCAGCCUGGCCAAGAUGGUGAAACUCCAUCUCUACUAAAAAUACAAAAAAAAUUAGCCGGGCAUGGUGGCACACACCUGUAAUCCCAGCUACUCCGGAGGCUGAGGCAGAGAAUUGCUUAAACCUGGAAGGGCGGAGGUUGCAGUGAGCCGAGAUCGUGCCACUGCACUCCAGCCUGGGCAACAGAGCAAGACUCUGUCUCAAAAAAAAAAAAAAAUCCAUGAUUUGAAGAAUUCCAGAAAACAAAUUUAUUAUCUUGAAAACUAUUAAUAAUAGAAAAAGAAGCAUUUAUUCUGUCUUUUCUGUACAAACUAUGCCUAAGGAUAACCAAAUAGUUAAUGAGAGAAGAUUCUCUUUACAGAAUUAUUUAAAGUAAUAAACAAUGAAGCAAUAAUAGAAUAUGAUCAUUUUGCAAUUCUGAUGAAUUAUUGGAUCUGUGCAAUAAUUAACAAUGGCUGAUAACAUCACAGAAAGAGAGACAAUCACACAUUACAUAUGAUGCACCCAAUAACACCUAUGAAACACUCUUGCUAAAAAACUAAACUAAACAAAUCUAACCAGAAUCUAAUCAGGCAUCAGCAAACAAAGAAACUUGUUAAACAACUUAACAGGGAUGCAAUUUUGAAAACAUACAUCAUGGGAAAUUCUACAAAACAAUCUGGUUUCUUCAACAACAACACUGCAAGGAACAAAGCAUACAAAGGGAUGGCAGUGUAAUCUACAAAUCACAGACCUAAGAGACACAUUAAACAAUGCCAGUGCAUGAACCUUAUUUGAAUCUGGAUUCAAACAAAUAAACCACUAAAAAUUUAAAGACAAUAAAACAUUGUUUUUAGACAAUUAAGAAUUUAUGAACACUGACAAAAUAUGUGAUAAUGUUAAUGAAUUAUUAAUAGUUUUAGAGAUUGUGAUGGUUAAUUUUAUGUAUCAACUUGACUGGGCCAUGGGGGUCCAGAUAUUUGGUCAAACAUUAUUCUGAGUAUGUUUGUUAAACAUUAUUCUGGGUGUGUUUUUGGAUGAGGUUAACAGUUAAAUCAAUAAACUGAAUAAGGUGGAUUGCUCUUCUUUGAUGCAGGUGGGCCUCAUCCCAUCAGUAAAGGCCUGAAUAGAACAAACAGGCAGAUCCUCCCUUGAAUAAAAGGGAACUCUUUGUGCCUUACUGCUUACACUGGGAAAUGUUGUUUUCCCAUCUUGAAGCCCCAGUUGGAAAAUCUGUUCUCCUUGAGUCUCAAGCCUGCUGGCUUUCAGACAGGAACUGACACCAUUAGCUCUCCUGGUUCUCAAGCUUUCAGACUCAGACUGGAACUAUACUUUGCCUCUCCUUGGUCUCCAGCUUGCCAAUUGUAGAUUUUGGGAUGUCUCAGCCUCUAUAAAUUAUGUACCUAAUUUCUUAUAACAAAUCUCCUCUCUCUCUUUCUUUACACACACACACACACACACACACACACACACACACACACACACACAAAUCUCCUAUUGGUUCUAUUUCUCUGGAGAACCCUGACUAAUACAGGGAUGGUAAGGUGUUAUAGUUAUAGUUAAGAGUCCUUAUCCUUUAGAAAUACAUAUAUGAAAUACUUACAGAUAAAAUGAUAUGAUGUCUGACAUUUGCUUCAAAAUAAUCUUAGGAUGGAAGGAAAUGGAUAAAGAUUUAGAUGAAACAGACUGGCUAUCUGUUGGUAAUUGUUAAAGCUGGGUGAUGGAAGCAUGGGGUUUCCUCAUGCUAUUCUCUCUGCUUUUGUAUAUGGAUACAGUUUUCUUUAGUGAAAAAGUAAAAAAUGGAAGAAAACGAAAAAUAGGAAAUUGAAAAAUAUUAGUAGUAUGGGGAAUUACUUUUUCUCAUAACCACUACUGUAGAAUAAUUUGACUCUUUAUAAUAUGUGUGUGUGUAAAACUAAGUAUCUUUUAAAAAUUAAAAAGUGAAGAGAACCUACCAUAAAUAUAAUAUGUAAUGGUGAAACUUUAGAUGCAUUCUCAUUAAAGGUAGAAACAUCAACGAUUCCUGCUCUUUGACAUUGUACUGGAGUCUUAGCCUUUGCAAUAAGACAAGAAAAAGAAGAGCUAAAUAGAAUAGGAGAAAAAAAUUAUUGUUGUUUGCAGACAAUACUGUAUGUAUAGAUAAUCCAAAAUUAUUUACAAACUGCAGGAAAACUGCUGGAUAUAAGAGCAAGACACAAAAAUCAAUAUUGUUCCCAUAUAUUGGGAAUAACCAAUAGUAAUUAGAAAAUGUGGUAUAACAAAAUUAUAUACACAAUGGCAACAGAAACUGUAAGGUACAUAGAAAUAAAUCUAUCAAAAGGUGGGAAGACAUUUUUGAAGAAAAUUAUAAAACAUUAUUGAAGGACAUAAGAAUAGACCUGAAUGAAAUCAUAAAUAUAUCAAUUAUUUCCCAAAUUAAUCUCUAAAGUCAAUGCCUCAAACCAGAAACUCAAUAACAGAACUUUUUUGGAACCCAAUAAACUGAUACCAAAUUUCACCAUUUCAAAAUUUUGAGAAACAUUUUAAAAAUAAGAACAAAGGGAGGCUUGUUUUUACCAAGAAUUAAGGCUCAUUAGAAAGCUGUUGUACCUAAAAUAGUGAAAUAUUGGGAUAGGGAUAGAAAAAUAAAUUAAUAGAAUAGGCCAGAGAUUCCAGAAAUAGCCUCAUAUAAAAUUUGAAAUAAUGUAUUAUACAGAUGAUAGUUGAGAAAUGAUGGACAAUUCAAUAAAUGGAGUAAUUGGCUUGCCCUGCUGGGGAAAAAAUGAAGUUAGAUUCUUACUCAACACAUAAUAGAAAAAUAAAUUCCAGUUGGAUUAAAGCUCUAAAUAUGAAAAACAAAAGUUAAAUUUGUUAGAAGAACAUACAGGGGGAAAUAUUUCUAUUCUCAAGGUACAGAACACAAGACACAAAAAGCCAAAAUAAUAAAAGGAGGAAUUGAUUGCAUCAUAAUUUAAAUUUUCUGUGUAACAAAAGACCCCAUCCAAAGCAAAAAGAUAGUGACAGAUUAGAGAAGAUAUUUUCAACAUAUCAGAAUAUAUACAGGUCCUACAAUUUGAUAAGAAAAACAAUCUAAUAAAAAGUUGAGCAGAAGAUAUGAAUGAUUUACAGAAGAGAAAAUCCAAACAACAAAUAAAUACAAGGAAAGAUACUCAAAAUACUCAGUAAUCAGAGAAAUAAAAAAGCAAAAUGAGAUGCUAUUUUUACACCUACCAGAUUGAUAAAAAUUAAAAAGUCUGAAUAUGAAGAUGUUGGGAAACUAAAAUGCAGCUUGUUGGACAACUAAUUUAAUACAACUAAUUUAGAGAUAAAAUUCAGGAUAUGGUCCUAUUUAGUUGAAAACUCAUACAUUAUAUGACACAGCAAUACUUAUACUCAGCAUAUACUUCUAGAUAUACACCUGGGAGAAAUUCUGACACAUGAACACAAAGAGACAUAUGAGAACAUUCACUGUAGCACUUUAAAAUAAAAAUAAAUGGGGGAAAAGCUGGAAAUAAAUUAUAAAAGUUGAAUAAAUUUCUGGUGAACAAAAUGUGCCAUAUCCAUAUGCUUAAAUACUAUGCAGUAGUUAAAAAUGAAUGAACUAGAUCUAGCCUAUGUAUCAGCAUAGACAGAUGUCAAAAAUAAUGUAGAAUUUAUUUAUUUAUUUAUUUUUGGAGACAAAGUUUCAUUCUUGUCAUCCAGGCUGGAGUGCAAUGGUGGGAUCUCAGCUCACUGCAACCUUCUUCUCUUGGGUUCAAGUGAUUCUCCUGCCUCAGCCUCCCAAGCAGCUGGGAUUACAGGUGCCCACCACCACGCCCAACUAAUUUUUGUAUUUUUAGUAGAGAUGGGGUUUCACCAUGUUGGCCAGGCUGGUCUCGAACUCCCGACCUCAGGUGAUCCGCCCACCUCGGCCUCCCAAAGUGCUGGGAUUACAGACGUGAGCCACCAUGCCCCACCAUAAUGUAGAGUUUAAAAAGCAAUUUCCAGAAUAGUACAAUGUAUCAAUUAUUGAGAGUAAGAGAAUGGGGACAAGCAUAGACAGCUGUUUUGAGAAGUUCUGCUGUGAAAUGGUAGGGAUUGUAAUAGCUGGAAGUGGGAGUAUAGUGGCUAAGGAGAGUUAUAAUUAUUUUUUUAAAUAAAUAUUACUACAGCUUGUUUGCAAAUGGGUGGGAAUGAUCUGGUAGACAGAAUGAAAAUCAUAAAGAGCAAAAUCCUUGGGAAGGUGGAAGCUUGGGCUCCAAAGCACAGAAGGAGGAUGCUACUAUAUUUUAGGCAGCUAAAUGGUAAGUGGUCAUGGGAUGGAAUGAAGGCGCUGAAUUUGUAGGCUGUUGAGGAGGUAGAACCUUCAAGAAGUAAUGCUAAUUGGAUGUCUGGUGACAUUAUAAAGGGGAGUCUGGUUAAAAGGCAGGACAAAGGACUUCUCUCCUGUCACAGACUCUGCC
rnacentral:lncRNA from 10 species